rnacentral:rRNA from 1 species
CCUCAGAAUGGUUGGAAAUCAUUCAUAGAGUGUAAAGGCAUAAGGGAGCUUGACUGCGAGACCUACAAGUCGAGCAGGGUCGAAAGACGGACUUAGUGAUCCGGUGGUUCCGCAUGGAAGGGCCAUCGCUCAACGGAUAAAAGCUACCCCGGGGAUAACAGGCUUAUCUCCCCCAAGAGUUCACAUCGACGGGGAGGUUUGGCACCUCGAUGUCGGCUCAUCGCAUCCUGGGGCUGUAGUCGGUCCCAAGGGUUGGGCUGUUCGCCCAUUAAAGCGGUACGCGAGCUGGGUUCAGAACGUCGUGAGACAGUUCGGUCCCUAUCCGUCGUGGGCGUAGGAAAUUUGAGAGGAGCUGUCCUUAGUACGAGAGGACCGGGAUGGACAUACCUCUGGUGUACCAGUUGUCGUGCCAACGGCAUAGCUGGGUAGCUAUGUGUGGACGGGAUAAGUGCUGAAAGCAUCUAAGCAUGAAGCCCCCCUCAAGAUGAGAUUUCCCAACUUCGGUUAUAAGAUCCCUCAAAGAUGAUG